rnacentral:rRNA from 1 species
UGGCGGACGGGUGAGUAACGCGUGGAAAACCUGCCGUAUACUGGGGGAUAACACUUAGAAAUAGGUGCUAAUACCGCAUAAGCGCACAGCUUCGCAUGAAGCGGUGUGAAAAACUCUGGUGGUAUACGAUGGUUCCGCGUCUGAUUAGCUAGUAGGCGGGGUAACGGCCCACCUAGGCGACGAUCAGUAGCCGGACUGAGAGGUUGACCGGCCACAUUGGGACUGAGAUACGGCCCAGACUCCUACGGAAGGCAGCAG